rnacentral:rRNA from 1 species
GGUGAGUGACGCGUGAGUAACCUGCCUUACACAAGGGGAUAGCCGUUGGAAACGACGAAUAAUACCCUAUGAACCUAUCACUUCGCAUGAAGCGAUAGUCAAAGUGUUAGCGGUGUAAGAUGGACUUGCGUCUGAUUAGCUAGUUGGUGAGAAAAAGCCCACCAAGGCAACGAUCAGUAGCCGGCUUGAGAGAGUGUACGGCCACAUUGGGACUGAGACACGGCCCAA